rnacentral:rRNA from 1 species
UACAGAGGUCCCGAGCGUUGUUCGGAUUCACUGGGCGUAAAGGGUGCGUAGGUGGUUGUGCAAGUCUGAUGUGAAAUCUCCGGGCUUAACCCGGAAAUGGCAUUGGAAACUGCAUGGCUAGAGGGUUGGAGGGGGGACUGGAAUACUUGGUGUAGCAGUGAAAUGCGUAGAUAUCAAGUGGAACACCAGUGGCGAAGGCGAGUCCCUGGACAACACCUGACACUGAGGCACGAAAGCUAGGGGGAGCAAACAGG